rnacentral:other from 12 species
CUGUGAGGAACUUCUGUCUUCACGCGGAAAGCGUCUAGCCAUGGCGUUAGUACGAGUGUCGUGCAGCCUCCAGGACCCCCCCUCCCGGGAGAGCCAUAGUGGUCUGCGGAACCGGUGAGUACACCGGAAUCGCUGGGGUGACCGGGUCCUUUUCUUGGAGCAAACCCGCUCCAAUGCCCAGAGAUUUGGGCGAGCCCCACGCGAGAUCGCUAGCCGAGUGAGU